GCUGGCUAAAAGCCCUAGAGCUGGUUGCUGGUCAGACCACAUUUCCUGCUGCAGACUGACAAAGCUCCCUGGACAGCCCUGCGUUCCUCUGCACUCGGCACAGCUGUCCCCUACUUCCCUGAUAAGCUGAAAUUUUCCAUCUAAAAAUGAAGAAUUUCAACUUACAAUUCCCAGAAGCCGCAAUGAGCAUGGCAGUGGCUAACGAAGGCCCCGAGCAGUCUGACAUCAUGUUACUGUGUUCCAGAGCAUGCAGCCCAGGCUCCCACCUUCCUGCCUGGAGUGAUGUGUGAGCAAGGCCUUCAGCUCAGUGUAGCUCUCUUAACUCUGAGUGUGACUAGAGACCUUUAUUCUAGGGAACCAGGACUCUCCACUCAACCCCACAGUCAGCUCACUGGCUUCCUCUGAUGACAGGAGGAACUGGGGAGGGAAGAAAUGGUUUGGGUUUUUGUUUGGUUGGGUGUUUUCCAGGUUUUCUUCAGACUGAACCUCCUCCUGCCUCAGCCUCUCAAGCAGUGGAACUGCACGUAUGUGCCAUCAUACCCAGCAGAAAGUCUUUACAUAAAACAGGCUUUUAUGUAAAGUUUGAGCUGAGACAGGGGAGGACAAAGCUGAAGAAGCAAGACCCAGAGGCUGGGUCAAUAUGAGACAAAUGCCUAAGGACAGCCAAAGGCACCCUCCAAGUGUAAGGCUCAGGCAGAUACUGAAGGCCCCCUUUUAGGAAGG